rnacentral:rRNA from 1 species
AUCCUACGGGAGGCAGCAGUAGGGAAUAUUGCACAAUGGAGGAAACUCUGAUGCAGCGACGCCGCGUGAGUGAUGAAGGACUUCGGUUUGUAAAGCUCUGUUGUCGGGGAAUAAAAAAAUGAAUGUACCCGACGAGAAAGGACCGGCUAACUUCGUG